CCUACGGGGGGCUGCAGUCGAGAAUCAUUCACAAUGGGGGAAACCCUGAUGGUGCGACGCCGCGUGGGGGAAUGAAGGUCUUCGGAUUGUAAACCCCUGUCAUGUGGGAGCAAAUUAAAAAGAUCGUACCACACGAGGAAGAGACGGCUAACUCUGUGCCAGCAGCCGCGGUAAUACAGAGGUCUCAAGCGUUGUUCGGAAUCACUGGGCGUAAAGCGUGCGUAGGCUGUUUCGUAAGUCGUGUGUGAAGGGCGCGGGCUCAACCCGCGGACGGCACAUGAUACUGGGAGACUAGAGUAAUGGAGGGGGAACCGGAAUGCUCGGUGUAGCAGUGAAAUGCGUAGAUAUCGAGAGGAACACUCGUGGCGAAGGCGGGUUCCUGGACAUUAACUGACGCUGAGGCACGAAGGCCAGGGGAGCGAAAGGGAUUAGAUACCCCGGUAGUC
rnacentral:rRNA from 1 species